CAAACAUGACUUAUCUUCAGUUAGAGAGAAUCUUGCUAAUAACAACCUACUAAAAAACAAACUCAAAUGAUGACUAAAAGAUCCACAAAUAUCUUAACCUCUUUAAGAGGUAAUAUUCUAUAAAUAUCAAACCCCAACUAUGUAAAAGGUACACUACUCAUUUUGAGUAACAUUAUACUUAUCUUCUACGCUUACUAACGUAAGCGUUGGAGUGCCUUUAUAGGUGUCUACCGCCACCGUUUCUCUUGAAACCGACCUAUACCUCUUCCACUUCAAGCAAAGGCAAGCUCAAUCCCUGAACAGGACGAGUUAUAAAUCAAACCUGACUUAUUACGCAGGAACAUUUGGUGCCCACCGUAGGGCCAAGUUUAUUUAACCCCACUAUCAUUUUUUCUGUCCGAUUACUUACCCUCUUUUACAGGUUUUAAUCAAUGACAAAAAAGUAAAAUAAUCCACCUCCUCAAAUCCCUACUAUAGCUGAAUUUUUAGUGAUCAAGGAAUCAUUGAAGGCAGAGAUUCGAAGGUUAACCGAGCUUUUGAAGCAAAACAAACAAGGAACUCUUACAUCCUGCCAAUACAUGUGGAUCGCCACCUAACAGAAGCCAGCCCCAACAAGCAUUGCAAUUGCUGCAAAUCCAAGGCCGUCGCUUUUAAUUUGUAACUAAUAAAGUUCAAAGAAAUAUGCCAGGUUCAUUUAGCUUACCGAGAGAAAAUCCACUUCCAUAUUGAUAAGCACCGUCAUGAAAGUGCAGUUGGAUCUCCCUGAUGGCUUGGUUUCCUCUGUCUGUUACAAGUAGGGAGCAACUACUUCCAACAAAAACCACAUCAAAGUCAUUAGAAAAUUUAGCUUCCUCACUUGGUCCAUCAACAUGGCCCCCUGCACGACUCCAUUUUCCUCCACCUGCAAUCGUUGUAACGCCUGAAACAAAAAUCAUAAUUCAAUGAAACAAAAGCCAAAUAUAAAACAGGGUCAGGAACAGUAUCUUCAAAAUUGUAUGAGACACUAACUGGAAUUCAAACUGGACUUGUUCAAGACACAAGAGGAUGGACACUCCAAGUUGAUUGAGCAGGGCAAGAAGCAUAUCUGUUAUUUUAUUUCCAAUGUAUCUUUUGAAAUACUACAUAUAAUGGAGCAUAGGUGAUGUAAUUUAUUUGGUUAUGCAAA